GGAGGCGUGGUAGAGCGGUAAUACAACGGUUUGCUAAACCGUCGGUUCCGAAAGGGCCGGGCAGGUUCAACCCCUGUCGCCUCCGCCU
rnacentral:tRNA from 1 species